rnacentral:lncRNA from 1 species
AGAGAGACAGAGUGCGGCGCCGGGAAGAGAGAGAAGGGGACGCUGCAGGCGUCGGUGGCAACCGUCGGGGGCGCGGAGCGCUGGCCGACGGAGCGGCGUGCGCUGGCGAGCGCAGCGGCGGCGGCAGCAGCAGCUCCAGCGGCGGCGGAAGAGCGCGAAGGCAGCGGCUUCCAGGCGUGUUUCCGGCCGUUUCCGGCGUUGUUGGCGGCCGAGUUGGUUGGCGAUCGGCUCCUCUCGGCGAGGGCUCUCUUCUGGCAGCAGUGGCGACGCCUGGGGUGGCCGGAG